GUGAAUCAUCGAGUCUUUGAACGCACAUUGCGCCCCUUGGUAUUCCGGGGGGCAUGCCUGUCCGAGCGUCAUU
rnacentral:rRNA from 1 species